CUGGCUAGUGCUAGAGGAGUGAGAAUGAUGCUCCUGGCUGGCUGCUGCAGAGCACUCUGGACAAAGCAGUUGCUGGCUGGGAGUCUCCACAGUUAAAGAGCCUGGGGAGAAACUCUGCUUUAGCAAGGAUAGGGUUGUGAAGUUCUCCAGGCACAGAGGCCUGGGAGAGAGAGCCUCACAAAAGGGGCAGAGACUGUUAUAAGCUCUCUAGGUGAAGAGGCCUGAGAGAGGCUUAAACAGGGAGCAGACAGAGGACCCAAGAAGCUGAUGGGAUGUAGACCAGGGAAUGUAGCAAUAGCCAUCAGUCAAGAAAGCAGCAAGUGGCUGCUAAUUGUAAGGUCCCUAGGUUGGGACCUGGAGUAGUGUGUGGGCCUGGGUCCUCCCACCAGCCACAGGCGGAGUGGACAAAGCUCAAGAAAGGGAAAAGUUUUGUUUGGAGCCCGAGAAGGGGCAUAGUGCUUAAACAGACCCAGAGGCAGGACAGAAGACACCAGGAGAGGUCCAACUAUUUGUUGGACUGUGUUAUCCUGGAAGGGAUUUGUUUGCUUCACAUACAGACUGUGUGGGACUCAGCCGGAGGGAUGAGUUGCUGAAGACCUACCACAAUUAGAGAGACAGAGAGUGUGCGGAUAGGAGGCACUCACAAGAGAUGCCAAACUACUAACAUAAGUUGCAUUCUGCAACAUCUUAUAAGUGUGUUUGGGCGUUAACACUGAGUAUGCCAACAAUAUACAUUGAAAAGCAAUACCACGUCUGUCCAUUGUUGGGGCAGCUCGUCCAGGUCUGCGGAGGCAAUUCGGUGGCGGCAACUCAAUCGCCCCACUUCGGUCUUCGGCAGCAAUUUGGCAGUGGGUCCUUCACUCACU